CACAAGCUUGGUCCUGGCUUUACUGUCAGCUUUGAUUAAAUUUAUACAUGCAAGUCUCCGCCCUCCUGUGAGAAUGCCCUACUUAUGCCCUGUAUUGGGAAAAAGGAGCAGGUAUCAGGCACAACCCUAACUUAGCCCACGACACCUUGCUUAGCCACACCCCCAUGGGAAUCCAGCAGUAAUAAACAUUAAGCCAUAAGUGUAAACUUGACUUAGUUAGUAUCAUUUAAGGGCCGGUAAAACUCGUGCCAGCCACCGCGGUUAUACGAGAGGCCCGUGUUGACACACACCGGCGUAAAGAGUGGUUAAUAGAGUUUUUAACUAAGGUCGAACAUCUUCAAGGCUGUUAUACGCACCCGAAGACAGGAAGUGCCCCCACGAAAGUGGCCUUAAGUAGUAUGAAUCCACGAAAGCUAGGGAACAAACUGGGAUUAGAUACCCCACUAUGCCUAGCCCUAAACCAAAACACCAUUUUACACCAACAUUCGCCAGGGGAAAACGAGCCCCAGCUUAAAACCCAAAGGACUUGGCGGUGCUUUAGACCCCCCUAGAGGAGCCUGUUCUAGAACCGAUACUCCCCGUUAAACCUCACCCCCUCUUGUUUUCCCCGCCUAUAUACCGCCGUCGUCAGCUUACCCUGUGAAGGAACUACCGUAAGCAGAAUUGGCAGAGCCCAAAACGUCAGGUCGAGGUGUAGCGUACGAGGGGGGAAGAAAUGGGCUACAUUUACUGAACCAGUAAAUACGAACCUUGUUCUGAAAAAACAUACGAAGGAGGAUUUAGCAGUAAGGUGGGAAUAGAGAGCCCUCCUGAAAACGGCCCUGAAGCGCGCACACACCGCCCGUCACUCUCCCCGACAAAACACUAACUAUAAAUAAUACUUUUCAUUAUCUACAAGGGGAGGCAAGUCGUAACAUGGUAAGUGUACCGGAAGGUGCACUUGGAAAAACCC
rnacentral:ncRNA from 1 species